CCAGACAGCCAGGAUGUUGGCUUAGAAGCAGCCAUCAUUUAAAGAAAGCGUAAUAGCUCACUGGUCGAGUCGGCCUGCGCGGAAGAUGUAACGGGGCUAAACCAUGCACCGAAGCUGCGGCAGCGACGCUGAUGCGUUGUUGGGUAGGGGAGCGUUCUGUAAGCCUGCGAAGGUGGCCUGUGAGGGUUGCUGGAGGUAUCAGAAGUGCGAAUGCUGACAUAAGUAACGAUAAAGCGGGUGAAAAGCC
rnacentral:rRNA from 1 species